UAUGAGGGCUAAAGUUACUACCAUCACCUCUUUAAUGGAAAAUUCAGAAGACAAACGUUACAAGACCUUGAGACCAAAUUAAACAUUACAAAAGGUCCAUAGUGUCACCUUAGAUGAAAAGGAGAAACAAGAAAUAAAAAGACAAGAAUGAGAUAGAGGAAAUGAGCACACAGGAAAUACAAAAUAAAUUAUAUUUUUUAAAGCACUUUAUUAUGAGGUUGGAGGUAAGGCAAUGAAGCUCCUGGCAUACAAACUAAAGAAGCAGCAAGCAGACAUACAAUUUUCUAAGAUACGAAACCCAGAAUCUUGGGGAAGUUGAACACAGACUGGGAAAAAUCCAGUAAAAGUUUGAAAAUUUUUACAAGAAACUCUAUUCUUAGCAACAUCUUGAUAAUGCUCCUCACACUCAUGCAUUUUUGGCCUCUCUUGACCUACCCUCUAUUUCAGAAGAACAAAAUGAACAAUUAGCAUAAAAAAUAACAGCUGAAGAAUUAAACGCAGCCAUCUCUAGGUUGAAAGCGAAUAAGUCACCAGGCCCAGAUGGCUUCACUGGGGAAUGGUACAAAUCUCUGCAAGAGCAGUUUGUCCCAAGAUUACUGGAGACAUUUAACUGGGUCCUAAAGGAAAAUAAAAUUCCACCUUCCUGGAAAGAAGCAACAAUUUUGAUUCUCUUAUUCCCAAUGAAGGGA